AUGUCUCCGUCGUCCUCCGACGACGAGGCCGCGAUCUCCUCCGUCUCGUCCGAGGAAGACGACAUCAGCCUGCCGUCAUCGCCUUCCCCGUCCCCCGAGCCCGCUCCCGCAGCCAAGAAGCCGCGACGACCCCGGAGCGGCACGGGAGGGCCGCCGCGAAGCUGGCCGACCGCGGACGAGGUGGUCCUCCUGGAGGCCGUCGUCGCGCACCAGGAGCGGCACGGCCAGCUCCCCUCCCGCGACGACCUCGCGACCGCCCUCGCCGGCCGCAUCCGGUUCAGCGGCGAGCAGGCCGCCAGGCGCGUGGACUCCCUGCGCCACCGCUACUACGGCUCCGUCCGGCGGCUCUCCCGCGGCACCGUCCCCGUCACGGACGACGACAUGAGGGUCUACAAGCUCUCCAAGCGCCUCUGGGAGGGCACGGUGGCGGAGAGGGCGCGGCGCCGGGAGCAUCGCGCCGCCGACAAGGCCGCGAGGCGCCACCACGAGCGGAGGGGCUUCGCCGAGCUCGAGGCGCUCUACCCCUGCCUCGCCGCGGAGGUGGAGGCGAUCGCGUCGCGGCGGCCCUGCGGCGGGGUGCUCAAGACGGCGUUCGGGCUGAUCGGCGACGAGAGGGCGGCGACGCUGGAGGCCAGGGUCAGGAAGCAGCGGCGCGCGGAGCUGAAGGCCGGGAUGAAGCGGGCCGAGCUGAGGGGCCAGGUGGCCAGGACGCUACUCGAGUUCAUCGAAUGA
rnacentral:rRNA from 1 species